AAGUCGUAACAAGGUCUCCGUAGGUGAACCUGCGGAGGGAUCAUUACAGAGUGAGGGUCCUCUGACCCGACCUCCAACCCUUUUGUGAACCGAAACUGUUGCUUCGGGGGCGACCCUGCCGUCCGCGGACGGGCGCCCCCGGAGACCAAUCAACUCUGCAUUAAAGUAGUCGUCUGAGUUUAAACAAAUAAACAAAACUUUCAACAACGGAUCUCUUGGUUCUG
rnacentral:misc_RNA from 1 species